GGUUUCAAUCGUUUUUAGUGGAUUUACCUAAAACUUGCUAUCCUGCAUUAGUUAGAGAAUUUUAUGCGAAUCUACAGUUGGUUGGAUCUGAUCAGUAUGUGUCGUAUGUGUCGGAUGUGAAGAUUUGUCUCUCCUCUAUGUUUUUGGGGGCUAUACUUAAAUGUCCACCAUCUACUCUGUCUAUACAUACUAAAAGAGGUCCUAAGGAUAUUGAAGGUUUUGCUCAU
rnacentral:lncRNA from 1 species